AGAGUUUGAUCAUGGCUCAGGACGAACGCUGGCGGCGUGCCUAACACAUGCAAGUCACGGGGGGUGGCAAUACCAACCGGCGAACGGGUGCGGAACACGUGAGCAAUCUACCGAUUACUGGGGGAUAGCCGGCCCAACGGCCGGGUAAUACCGCAUACGCUCAAGAGGGGACAUCCCCAUUUGAGGAAACCUCCGGGGGUAAUCGAGGAGCUCGCGUCUUAUCAGCUAGUUGGUGAGGUAACGGCUCACCAAGGCUACGACGGGUAGCUGGUCUGAGAGGAUGGCCAGCCACAUUGGGACUGCGACACGGCCCAGACUCCUACGGGAGGCAGCAGUGGGGAAUAUUGCGCAAUGGACGAAAGUCUGACGCAGCGACGCCGCGUGUGGGAUGAAGCUCUUCGGGGUGUAAACCACUGUUGCCCGGGACGAAUAUCCUUUUUUGAAAGGAUUGACGGUACCGGGUGAGGAAGCACCGGCUAACUCUGUACCAGCAGCCGCGGUAAUACAGAGGGUGCGAGCGUUGUCCGGAAUCACUGGGCGUAAAGGGCGCGUAGGUGGCUUGUUAAGCGUGUGGUGAAAGCCUGGGGCUCAACCCCAGGUCUGCCGUGCGAACUGGCAAGCUUGAGCGUAGUAGAGGCAGGUGGAAUUUCGGGUGUAGCGGUGGAAUGCGUAGAUAUCCGAAAGAACACCGGUGGCGAAGGCGGCCUGCUGGGCUACUGCUGACACUGACGCGCGACAGCGUGGGGAGCAAACAGGAUUAGAUACCCUGGUAGUCCACGCCGUAAACGAUGGGUACUAGGCGUCUGGGGGAGCGACCCCCUGGGUGCCGGCGCUAACGCAUGAAGUACCCCGCCUGGGGAGUACGGCCGCAAGGCUGAAACUAAAGGAAUUGACGGGGGCCCGCACAAGCGGUGGAGCAUGUGGUUUAAUUCGACGCAACGCGAAGAACCUUACCUGGGUUUGACAUGCUGGAGAAAGCCCUCAGAAACGGGGGCCCCUCUUCGGAGUUCCAGCACAGAUGCUGCAUGGCUGUCGUCAGCUCGUGUCGUGAGAUGUUGGGUUAAGUCCCGCAACGAGCGCAACCCUCAUCCCUAGUUACCAGCGGGUAAAGCCGGGAACUCUAGGGGGACUGCCGGUGCCAAACCGGACGAAGGUGGGGACGACGUCAAGUCAUCAUGGCUCUUACAUCCAGGGCUACACACGUGCUACAAUGGGCCAGACAAAGGGUCGCCAACCCGCGAGGGGGAGCCAAUCCCAUAAACUGGUCCUCAGUUCGGAUUGCAGUCUGCAACUCGACUGCAUGAAGCUGGAAUCGCUAGUAAUCGUGGAUCAGCUACGCCACGGUGAAUACGUUCCCGGGCCUUGUACACACCGCCCGUCACGCCAUGGAAGCUGUGAGUGCCCGAAGUCCGUGCAGGAACCCGCAAGGGGCCGAGCGGCCGAAGGCAAGCGCAGUGACUGGGGCGAAGUCGUAGCAAGGUA
rnacentral:rRNA from 1 species